rnacentral:sRNA from 1 species
GUUGGCAUAGCCCAUUUGGUGCUGGAGUUUUUGUUUUAGUUGUGUUUCUUACCACCUCCCCUAACCCGAGCACCUGACCUUGGAAUAUUAGUUGCAGUUUGGAAUAUUGUAUUUCUUCUGCGCUAAUUGUGUUUUAUUUCUUUUAAGUCCUUAGAAAAUAUAAGCAAAUGUAAUUUUUUGGUAUCAAAGUUUUUUCUGUUCUCUGUUCUCUUUUUCCAAAGGGAUUUUGCUGUAGGAAUCUGUAACAAAAUCAGUGAAAUGAUUCAAGGUUUAGCAACACCAGUAGACUUGAAGCUAAAAUUGAUACCCAUUCUACAGCACAUGCACCAUGAUGCAAUCUUGGCUUCCAGUGCUCGUCAGCUUUUACAACAGCUGGUCACAUCCUAUCCGUCCACCAAAAUGGUGAUUGUGUCUUUGCACACUUUCACUCUGCUUGCAGCUUCAUCUUUGGUUGAUACACCUAAGCAGAUUCAGCUUCUGUUGCAGUAUUUGAAGAAUGAUCCCAGGAAGGCAGUAAAGAGACUUGCUAUUCAAGAUCUGAAAUUACUUGCUAAUAAAACACCAC